rnacentral:ribozyme from 14 species
AAACAAAAUCAAGAUAAAUCAAAAAAAAAAAAAAAAGGGAAAAAUGGG